GUCGACAGACGAGGACAGUACCAUCAUCGAAAUAUGUUGGAUUUAGGUCUACAUCAGCCCCUCCAUCUGCAGCCUCAGGAAGACCUCCAGUUCAGGCCUCAACAAGUAGGCUCCACACAGAGACAAUGGAAAGACCAAAAAAGAAAUUCUGCAAUAAUGGAGCCAAAAGCCAGACCUUGCCAGCCAUACCACCAUUUCCAUUUCCACCAUCAACACCAGAAACAGUCCCAGAUCUAAGACAAGAUGA